GUCCGGUCUGAAGAGAGUGAGCUAUCUCGACUGACUGUUCAGUUACAGAAUUUGUUCUACUCCUCCUCCCUUCUCACUAAUGCCCUUGAUUAGUCUUUC
ensembl:Y_RNA Y_RNA Y RNA